AGCGAACGCUGGCGGCAGGCCUAACACAUGCAAGUCGAACGAAGCCUUCGGGCUUAGUGGCGGACGGGUGAGUAACACGUGGGAACGUACCUUUUGGUUCGGAAUAACGCAGAGAAAUUUGCGCUAAUACCGAAUGAGCCCUUCGGGGGAAAGAUUUAUCGCCGAAAGAUCGGCCCGCGUUGGAUUAGAUAGUUGGUGUGGUAAAGGCGCACCAAGCCUACGAUCCAUAGCUGGUCUGAGAGGAUGAUCAGCCACACUGGGACUGAGACACGGCCCAGACUCCUACGGGAGGCAGCAGUGGGGAAUCUUGCGCAAUGGGCGAAAGCCUGACGUAGCCAUGCCGCGUGAAUGAUGAAGGUCUUAGGAUUGUAAAAUUCUUUUACCAGGGACGAUAAUGACGGUACCUGGAGAAAAAGCCCCGGCUAACUUCGUGCCAGCAGCCGCUGUAAAAC
rnacentral:rRNA from 1 species